rnacentral:misc_RNA from 1 species
UCUCCGUAGGUGAACCUGCGGAGGGAUCAUUACUGAGUGAGGGCUUCGGUCCGACCUCCAACCCUUUGUGAACCAAACUUGUUGCUUCGGGGGCAACCCUGCCUUCGUGCGAGGCGCCCCCGGAGGCUCAUCAAACACUGCAUCUUUGCGUCGGAGUAUUAGUAAAUCUAAUCAAAACUUUCAACAACGGAUCUCUUGGUUCUGGCAUCGAUGAAGAACGCAGC